CCUACGGGAGGCAGCAGUAGGGAAUCUUCCGCAAUGGACGAAAGUCUGACGGAGCAACGCCGCGUGAGCGAUGAAGGCCUUCGGGUCGUAAAGCUCUGUUGUCAGGGAAGAACAAGUACCGGAGUAACUGCCGGUACCUUGACGGUACCUGACCAGAAAGCCACGGCUAACUACGUGCCAGCAGCCGCGGUAAUACGUAGGUGGCAAGCGUUGUCCGGAAUUAUUGGGCGUAAAGCGCGCGCAGGCGGUUCCUUAAGUCUGAUGUGAAAGCCCCCGGCUCAACCGGGGAGGGUCAUUGGAAACUGGGGAACUUGAGUGCAGAAGAGGAGAGCGGAAUUCCACGUGUAGCGGUGAAAUGCGUAGAGAUGUGGAGGAACACCAGUGGCGAAGGCGGCUUUCUGGUCUGUAACUGACGCUGAGGCGCGAAAGCGUGGGGAGCAAACAGGAUUAGAUACCCUGGUAGUCCACGCCGUAAACGAUGAGUGCUAAGUGUUAGGGGGUUUCCGCCCCUUAGUGCUGCAGCUAACGCAUUAAGCACUCCGCCUGGGGAGUACGGCCGCAAGGCUGAAACUCAAAGGAAUUGACGG
rnacentral:rRNA from 1 species